AUAGCCUGUUAAUAAAUAAAGCCUGAGCCGUGCAUUCUUAUCAGGUGAGCGAGCAAAGGCUGGACUUGUAGAGAUUAUUCCUGUUGAUUUUUGCAUCCGUGAAAUGCCUCGCUGGAGCAUCUGUGAGCAUCUGUUGCUAACGCUAUUGAGUUAGCUUCCUGAAUUAACCUCAGGAAGAAGGGAGAGAGGCUGCAGCUUCUUCCUCAGGCACAUUCCUCCAAAUACAUUUUGGGGGCCGUUUUACCUUCUCCUCUAAAGAGAAAGACGGACUAUGCCGCCUUUUCUUCCCCUUGGAUCUCUCGGAAGCGGUGAUGGCUUCGUUUCUUUCGACUGAUACCGACGUGCAGCCUGGCAGUUCACCAAGACUGAAGAUGACCCAGCAAAAAUGAACACAAAGCUGCCCUCUCCAAAGGUCCCAUCCGGCACCUGAUGAACGGCUGGCUUCAUUGGCAGGGGGGUUGAGAGCCUUUCCUGUGGACCACCGCCCCCUUUUUGCACGGGCCUUGCAAAACAAGUGCAGCUUCCUGCACAGAAGGGCUGCCAUUAAUUGGAAAGGGAGCCACUCUUCUAACGAGGGGCUGCUAACAACGGCCUUUGCUCCCUGACAUGCAGAGGAUCCAUUUUGUGACUGAGGAGGCCAAAAUGGACGUGACUGGAGACCAGAAAAAAAAGAAAACUUGGCUCCAGGCAUUGAAGUGGGUAAGGUUCUGUGCCCUUUAAGGGCUCCCACGGCUGGGAGUUGCGAUCCCUGGGCACGCCGGGAAUGACUUCAAAAACCCCUGCCCCAAUUCCAGAGACUCCCUGCUGCUCAGGCAGGCCAGUUCCAGGCUGGAUGAACAGAGGGCCGGAAGCCAAUGUUAGGCAGCUCUGUGGGCAUGGAGAGAUGGGCUGGGCCCAGGGCCCUGCAACUGAGGGGCAAAGAGAUUUGGUCCAUUUUCUAAGAACCUCUUCUCCCCCUGCAUUUUAAUAGCUUGCUCCAAAGGGGGGAGCAGGAAGCUUCAGAUGGUGGAGAAUUUGCACAAGGAAAAUUUCUGGGGUGGUGGUGGUGGAAUUAAGGGUCCUUCCUCUCUCUCCAUCACCCCCUCUCUCUUUGGGUGAAACACAGACCCCUCUGAUAACACCCAGGCUGUUUUGCUUAUAUGUUAAUUCCCAGGCAGACGGGAAGAAGGCAAUUAGGAAAGCCAAUUAAACAGCUUUGUUGUUUACAACACUUGCAGUGCCAAAGCCCAAAGCCAGCUCUCUCUCUUGUCCUCCUUGAAAAGCAGCAUCCUUGCAAGAGAAAGGGAAAUGAGCAACGACAGAUGGAUUGCAGCACCCGAGAAACCCUGAACUCCGCUGGAAUUUUAAGAUUCUGCUACAGGGAAGCAAACUCGCUUAAGAUCAGAUUUCUGACAAGAAUUUCCUCCCUCCCGAGGUCUUAGGAUAACUCAAAGUAAGUGAGCAGGAUGCCAGCCGAGGCUUCAUUGCUCCAAGGAGAUGCCACCCAUUGUGAAUGCAUCUUGUGGGUAUCCUGGCUGGUGGGGAGAAUAACAAGCUCAUUAUUCUCUUAGGAAAAAAAGGAGGCAGCAAGUGUCACCCAUCUGUUUGAAGCAUCGUUUUCUAUCAGGAGUCUUGAGUUCCAAUGCCCUCUAUGUCUGCAGGACUUCAGCACCCAUCAUCCUGGCCAGAGGGAGCAGUCUGGAGCUUUAGUGGGCAUCUUUAACAAAAGCAAAUCCAAAAUGUCUCCUGUGGCUUUCUCCAGCGGGGGGGGGGGCUGAGAUAAUGCAAGGUGCAAUUCAUAAACCAGCUCCCCUAAGAUAAGAACUUGAGAUUGAAGCUUCGAUGGUUUCCAGAAUUGGGGGCCCAGCAACGAGAGCAUCACGGCCCUUUCAAAAUCGGGAGGGCCGAGUUGAAACUGUCCUGGAUUCCCCCCAACCCCGGAUGGGGGCUGCAAAUUAAGGGAGCACCCCUUCCUCCUCCAUCCAGGCCAGCAAAAGGAAGGGAUUCAAAGCCUUUCAGGAGCUGAGGUUACCCUGCUGAUACCCUGUUUGUAGGGCGCGGACCAGAAGGGGCGAAGCCAGGAAAGCCAUUCCAGUGCAGGGGACAGGAGGACCAAGUGAGAGAGACAGAGUGAACAGCGGAAGGAUGGCUAGCUAAUUAAAUGCAGUCUUUUUGAAAUCAGAUUGGCAAUUCUUCUGGACAUCAAGGUUUAAUGCACUUUGAGAGCCUCGUCCAGCCAACAAUCUAUUCUUCCCAAAAAUUAAGAACAAAAUGCUACGUUGGCCCCAAAGACAGAUGGAUCAAAUGAAACUGCUUGACAUUUACAACAUUCCAGUCCUCGUGAUUGAAAAGUUCAGCAAAUGGGCUUUCUGGAUCCUCUCUCAUCAUGUUCUUGCACAGACAGAUAUGCAUUUCUUGAGAAAGGCCUUGCUUUCCGGCUUCCCCUCCUGUUUCUGGUGCAAAGAUGCUGAAUUCUGUUUGAACUGAAGGCCGACAGUGGGGAAAAAGCAGGGCUGUUGAAGAAGACAAGCAGCCCAGCCUUGCGUAAUUUAUAUCUCCCCCUGCAUUAUCCGGACUGGCAGUGGGAGUUUUAAAAAAGCAAAAUUCGAGCACCCUCACUAUUCGCUGGUUCCGAUUUAAGCCAACCCCGUUGGAGAAAAGCAUUCAGGAAACAGGGAUCUUUUCAUUGGAGAUGACGAAAGCUACCCCUGGGACCCCAGACUCUCCCUUUGCCGCCGAUCUACCCUCCCAGGCUGGUUAAGGUCAAUCACAGGGGAGCCCGGUCAUCUAGACUUGCCUUCCC